rnacentral:rRNA from 1 species
AUUGAACGCUGGCGGCAGGCUUAACACAUGCAAGUCGAGCGGGGGGAGGUAGCUUGCUACCUAACCUAGCGGCGGACGGGUGAGUAAUGCUUAGGAAUCUGCCUAUUAGUGGGGGACAACAUUUCGAAAGGGAUGCUAAUACCGCAUACGCCCUAAGGGGGAAAGCAGGGGAUCUUCGGACCUUGCGCUAAUAGAUGAGCCUAAGUCGGAUUAGCUAGUUGGUGGGGUAAAGGCCUACCAAGGCGACGAUCUGUAGCGGGUCUGAGAGGAUGAUCCGCCACACUGGGACUGAGACACGGCCCAGACUCCUACGGGAGGCAGCAGUGGGGAAUAUUGGACAAUGGGGGGAACCCUGAUCCAGCCAUGUCGCGUGUGUGAAGAAGGCCUUUUGGUUGUAAAGCACUUUAAGCGAGGAGGAGGCUACCGAGAUUAAUACUCUUGGAUAGUGGACGUUACUCGCAGAAUAAGCACCGGCUAACUCUGUGCCAGCAGCCGCCGUAAGAC